rnacentral:tRNA from 1 species
UUAAUUGAAACCAAAUAGAGGUAUAUCACUGUUAAUGAUAAAAUUGAAUAAAAAUUUUCCGAUUAAA